rnacentral:rRNA from 1 species
CAGGCCUAACACAUGCAAGUCGAACGGUGAAGCGCCUUCCUUUUGGUGGGUGUGGAUGAGUGGCGAACGGGUGAGUAACACGUGAGUAACCUGCCCCCUUCUUCUGGAUAACCGCAUGAAAGUGUGGCUAAUACGGGAUAUUCUGCGCCUGCUGCAUGGUGGGUGUGGGAAAGAUAUUGUUUCGGUGGGGGAUGGGCUCGCGGCCUAUCAGCUUGUUGGUGGGGUGAUGGCCUACCAAGGCGGUGACGGGUAGCCGGCCUGAGAGGGUGGACGGUCACACUGGGACUGAGACACGGCCCAGACUCCUACGGGAGGCAGCAGUGGGGAAUAUUGCACAAUGGGCGCAAGCCUGAUGCAGCGACGCCGCGUGAGGGAUGGAGGCCUUCGGGUUGUAAACCUCUUUCGCCAGUGAAGCAGGCCUGCUCCUUGUGGGUGGGUUGACGGUAGCUGGAUAAGAAGCGCCGGCUAACUACGUGCCAGCAGCCGCGGUAAUACGUAGGGCGCGAGCGUUGUCCGGAAUUAUUGGGCGUAAAGAGCUCGUAGGCGGCUGGUCGCGUCUGUCGUGAAAUCCUCUGGCUUAACUGGGGGCUUGCGGUGGGUACGGGCCGGCUUGAGUGCGGUAGGGGAGACUGGAACUCCUGGUGUAGCGGUGGAAUGCGCAGAUAUCAGGAAGAACACCGGUGGCGAAGGCGGGUCUCUGGGCCGUUACUGACGCUGAGGAGCGAAAGCGUGGGGAGCGAACAGGAUUAG